CGGAGAAAGCUUUAUGCGCCGAAGGAUGAGCCUGCACUUGAUUAGUUUGUUGGUGGGGUAAUGGCCUACCAAGACUUUGAUCUAUAGCUGAUCUGAGAGGAUGAUCAGCCACAUUGGGACUGAGACACGGCCCAAACUCCUACGGGAGGCAGCAGUAGGGAAUAUUGCACAAUGGAGGAAACUCUGAUGCAGCGAUGCCGCGUGAGUGAAGAAGGCCUUUGGGUUGUAAAGCUCUUUCGUCGGGGAAGAAAAUGACUGUACCCGAAUAAGAAGGUCCGGCUAACUUCGUGCCAGCAGCCGCGGUAAUACGAAGGGACCUAGCGUAGUUCGGAAUUACUGGGCUUAAAGAGUUCGUAGGUGGUUAAAAAAGUUGGUGGUGAAAUCCCAGAGCUUAACUCUGGAACUGCCAUCAAAACUUUUUAGCUAGAGUAUGAUAGAGGAAAGCAGAAUUUCUAGUGUAGAGGUGAAAUUCGUAGAUAUUAGAAAGAAUACCAAUUGCGAAGGCAGCUUUCUGGAUCAUUACUGACGCUGAGGAACGAAAGCAUGGGUAGCGAAGAGGAUUAGAUACCCUCGUAGUCCAUGCCGUAAACGAUGUGUGUUAGACGUUGGAAAUUUAUUUUCAGUGUCGCAGCGAAAGCAUUAAACACACCGCCUGGGGAGUACGACCGCAAGGUUAAAACUCAAAUGAAUUGACGGGGACCCGCACAAGUAGUGGAGCAUGUGGUUUAAUUCGAAGAUACGCGCAGAACCUUACCAACACUUGACAUGUUCGUCGCGACUCUAAGAGAUUAGAGUUUUCGGUUCGGCCGGACGAAACACAGGUGCUGCAUGGCUGUCGUCAGCUCGUGUAGUGAGAUGUUGGGUUAAGUCCCGCAACGAGCGCAACCCUCACUU
rnacentral:rRNA from 1 species